UGACAUUCAGUAUAGAAUCGUCUAUUUACCAGUUCGGUGGUUACGCAAGAACUUUUGACUGCGAACCGUUGGUUGAAAAAAAUUAUUUUGUUCGUUUUUUUGGCUCGAAAAAAGUGUUUUUCAUUAGAAAAUACAAUGUUAAAAAAAUUCGAAUCGAACAACGAACAAAAUAAUUUUUUUUUCAACCAUGUGGAACGGUCGACAGUAUAAGUGGAUAUAUAUGGAAAUGAAAUUAUUUUAUAUAUAAAAAGAGUGAAGUGAGCUGGAUUAUAAUUAGUAGUAAGCUCGGCAAUUACUGCGCGAACUCGAUAACACAACAGGACGAUCGUUUGAUAUUGACGGCGGUUGAUUACUGGGAACAAAUUUGAAAAACUCAGAUGCUGUGAUGCAAGAGGUUUUUUUUCCAGAUGUCUGAGGUAAUUUGGGGAAAGUUUUUGAAUAGAACAACAUUUCUUGGAGGCUAUAAUUCUGUGGGCGAGAUUGAAAGUGGUGUAUGUUUCAAACGCUUUUUGUAUUGAAAUAAGUAGAGUAUGUCUCCAAGAGGAGAGAGGAAAAAUCAAAAUGCAAACAUGAGAAACUUUUGUUUUGACUAUUUGUAUCGAUUGAUUGUAUGGAAAAUUGAAAAAAUCUCAAAUUUCGUUGCUUUUUCCAGUUCGAUAUUAAUUUUUUUGAUAAACAAAUGAAAAAACAAAACAUACCAGCCUAAAAAAUCCGAAGAAAAAAUGUCAUAUUCACAAAUCAAACGAAAUAAAAAACAUUUCGACUUUCGCCGAUAUUUUUCAUUGGCAAAUGAAUGGAAAACAAAGCAUGCUGAGCUAAAAAAAAUCUGAAAAAAUGUCACCUGCACAAAAUCAAACAAAAUAAAAAACAAUUUGAUUUUUUUCGAAUGAAAUUUUGAAUUGAUUUUGUUUUGUUUAUUUGAUUGAAAAUUUAAUUUGAACUUGAACAAUUCACAAUUUGUUUUGCAUUUUUUUGUUCCAUUCAUGAACGAAUCAAUUCAUGAUUUGAUUGCGAUGUAGGACGCUUAUGAAGCGGUUAUCAACCAAAUGGACAUCUGGCAUCGCUUGCACUUCUGCAAAAGUCUGUGUUCGAUUUGGAGCAAUAUUUUGACCGGUCACGUGUUUAUAAUUAAUUUUGUCUUCUUCGCAUGACAAGAAAAAAAACCUUCUGGCAACUUGAAAAAAAUCGAAAAUUUUGUGGAGAAACGACUUCAGAUUUCGAUUCCGUUGAAUUUAAACACAAAACAUUUCGACUUAAUCGCUAUAAUUUGUGCGAAUUGUGAAUGUAUGGUCUCCGUAGUCUAAUACUGUUCGAUAUAAUUUUAUGAAAUCUCUACCAAUUAUUGCGUCACAAGGAAUAUUUAAUUUACUUGGCAUUACAUGGAAUUUAUGAAUUAUUUUUAUAUUUUCAAUUUCAAGAUGCAUUUCAACAAAGCCAAUUGAUUUAAUUGGAGUUUUUACCACGCCACAGACUUCUAUUAAUUCAGAUUUGUUUAUUUCAAUAUUUUUAUCCAGACUAUUUUCUUUAACAAUUGAUAUGUCCGCUUGACUGUCAACUAGGAAGUAAAUACCAUUUUCAGAUAUGUUAUUCUGCGUAAUUUAGGUUCAUUGAGAAUAUUCGUUUCACGUUUUCGAUUUUUAAGCUUUCAUUAUUACUCUUAUUCACAACUUAAACUUCUUCACUUGCGUGCUUACGUACGUGUUCGUUUUUGAAUUUUGAAAAUUCAAAUUAAAUUCGAAGGACCAAAAAUGUAUCGAUGGAAAUAAUACAUUACAAUGAGUUAUACUAGUUCAGUUGACUGCUGUAACAUAACUGACUUUUUAUUAAUUCAUUCUUACUUGCUAAACAUUUGUGUAUGACAGGGCGUUGGCCGCUGUAUUGCUUUGUAGGCAUAAUGAAUUGGACUUUGAACAAUAUGCUGAAAUUUGUAUGAACAAUAUAGACUUUGAACAAUAACAUGUUCUUGAACAAUAAGAGAGAAAUAUAUUGAAUGUAUCAAAUUACCGUUAGCAGCAGGUUUGCUAUAGAAUACCAGCUAAAUGAAUAAGGAGCUGAAUGUAAAUGAGUGUUACUCGUUCAGAGGUUGAGUUGAGACUAAAGUUUCAUUUAUUAAACAGUAUGCAAUUGCCUUACAGGACAACGGCGAACAACGUGAGUGCCGUUACACACUGGACGAUUUUCUAUAUGUCUCUACGUUUUGUAUUAUUGCCUGUGGCAGAAUCAGGUGUGUAGUCAUCCACAUUACUACGAGAGCGUUUUGCCGAUGAUUAUGAAUGUGUGGUCGAACUCGAAGCAGUCGUUCGGGUUUGAUCUGAUGCAACUUUAUUGCCCAAUCGCUCCUUAAUCGACCGCUUCUGUUCUCCCUUAUUCGCAAUCGUCUCGGUCGAAGCCUUCGGUGUGCUUGUUAUUUGCUGCACAUUUGAAGUGGUCGGUUUUGCUCUUCUGUUCUGUUCUGAGCGCCGACGCUACCUUCGUCCUGUUUUUCUGCUCGAAAACGGGCCUUCGCAUUCUUUUUUCUUUCAUUUCGUUUCUUAUUCUUUAAUUUUUUAUUUUUUUCACCUCCCUCUGAACCCGAUGUCACUUCGGUGGUUGAAUCCGUUUGCUUUUUGUUUUCAAUUGUGUUCACCGCCCGAUAUUUCAUCUGUUCGAAUUUCAUUUUCUGUCAAUAUGAUGCUAUCGUCCAUUUUGAACAAAUGUUUGCACCUAAAAUAUCGCUAAAAAUAUAAUAAAUUGAGAGAGAAUGUAUGUUAGAAUGUAAAUAUAGUUAUUUAGUGUGGAAUAAUGAAUAAAAACCAAAAAUUCGUGCUAUCUGUCAAGAGAUGGCGUUGCUGUGUGCCCCUGUGUGAGACAGGUGGUCUUUGAAUAGAUCCAACACAGCACAGACAAUCGCACGAAAAUCCACUAAGAAUCCAAUUCUGCACACAAAACACUAAAUUAUUCAAUUAAAUCCAGCCAAUCGUGGUUGUACACACCCUGGCUGCACUUCUUAUCACAAUUCCACUUUAUUUCCAGUUGGUUUUUUUGAUGUACCGGUUUGUCAUUUAACCACUUAACCACGCAUUCGGUUGCGCGUUUCGUUGUGUCAACAUGGAGUCGCGUUGUUGUUGUUUUCUACCGAGUUUAUGUAUGAUUUUGAAUACAAAUAUUAUUGACAUUCCAAUCAGCACAAAAACAAUUACUUUUAUCCACAAUUCCAAGUCAUUGUUUGUCACUUUUAAUUCAUUCUCGUUAAUC